GCCAGCUUAGCUCAGUUGGUAGAGCAACGCACUCGUAACGCGUAGGUCACAGGUUCGAUCCCUGCAGCUGGCACUA
rnacentral:tRNA from 4 species